ACUCAAUAGAUACCCUGGUAGUCCACGCCCUAAACGAUGUCUACUAGUUGUCGGGUCUUAAUUGACUUGGUAAACGCAGCUAAACGCGUGAAGUAAACCGCCUGGGGAGUACGGUCGCAAGAUUAAAACUCAAAGGAAUUGACGGGGACCCGCACAAGCGGUGGAUGAUGUGGAUUAAUUCGAUGCAACGCGAAAAACCUUACCUACCCUUGACAUGGAUGGAAUCCCUGAGAGAUUGGGGAGUGCUCGAAAGAGAACCAUUACACAGGUGCUGCAUGGCUGUCGUCAGCUCGUGUCGUGAGAUGUUGGGUUAAGUCCCGCAACGAGCGCAACCCUUGUCAUUAGUUGCUACGAAAGGGCACUCCAAUGAGACUGCCGGUGACAAACCGGAGGAAGGUGGGGAUGACGUCAAGUCCUCAUGGCCCUUAUGGGUAGGGCUUCACACGUCAUACAAUGGUACAUACAGAGGGCCGCCAACCCGCGAGGGGAGCUAAUCCCAGAAAGUGUAUCGUAGUCCGGAUUGUAGUCUGCAACUCG
rnacentral:rRNA from 1 species